CAUUUUCUGAUAUUUAUAUCAAGCCAAAACCAACAUCUGGGCUCGGAAUGUCUCAUUAAUCAUGAGACCAUGGAUCACAAAAAUUGGAAAAUCUCGGCAAUACGACAAAGAAUUUGACAAGGUUCACAAACAAAGGAAUUGAUAGUGAAUGAACGUAUGUCUUCUUUGGAAUCUGACAUCAAAGAAACUGACAGCUGAAACGAAAUCUAGGAGUAUUCUAUGACAUUACUAAGAAAGUGAAGGCAGAUAUAUUACUAAUCAGUGUGAACAUUUCUUGUGCAGUGGCAUAUACAUGUUAAUUAACUCUUUUCUACUGAGGCAGGCAUAACAUUAUCUGAAACAAAUGAUGAAUAGCUAGCAUCAGGACUGAAUUUACAUGUCAAGAACCUGUCCCCUGCUCCCCAAACCCAUCAAAAAGCAGAUGCAUAGGAAUAAUGAAUUUAUUAAAUGGACAUUGCAGGCCUGAAACAUCA